rnacentral:rRNA from 1 species
AAUGAACGCUGGCGGCGCGCCUAAUACAUGCAAGUCGAGCGAGAAGACGUAGCAAUACGUUUGUAAAGCGGCGAACGGGUGAGGAAUACAUGGGUAACCUACCCUAGAGUGGGGAAUAACUAGCCGAAAGGUUAGCUAAUACCGCGUACGCUCCUUGGACUUCGGUUCAGGGAGGAAAGCGAUGCCGAGGGUAUCGCGCUCUUGGAUGGGCUCAUGUCCUAUCAGCUUGGGUGAGGUAACGGCUCACCAAGGCUUCGACGGGUAGCUGGUCUGAGAGGACGAUCAGCCACACUGGCACUGCGACACGGGCCAGACUCCUAGGGAGGCAGCAGUAAGGAAUAUUGCGCAAUGGGCGAAAG